CCCACCUUGCAUCUCAGGAACGAAAAUCUCCCCCGCGGCCCUCACUCCUGCGCCUCGACGCUUCCGCCCGCCGCCCCACGCCUCGGAUGGCUGGACGCCGCCGUCUGCACCUACACGUGUUUCUGCGCCCCCUGCCGCCGCCGCCGCCCUUCGCUCCCCCCUCCUCCCUUACCCUCCCACCUCCUCCCCACGUUUCUUCACCACGGCGUUGUGGCGCAGUACCGGGAAGACUUGGCUGCAGGUCGCGGCGCAACUACAUGGUGCUCAUCGGCGCGACGGCUUCGUCAUCAACAGCACGCUGUGGCGGGUCAUGCUCGGCACCACCACGCUCGUCGGCCGAUCCAAGGCAAGGCGGCGGCGUCAGCAUGAGGUGUAGGAUAUGAGGAUGCGUGGAAGGCCAACAUCCCAAACUUCAGGACUCUCUUUGUUCCAUCGAGGACACCAUCACAGAGAGGAAGAGAGGAGCUUACUGUAGGAUGCUAAGAUCUUUCUUCACUGCCAAAGAGAGGAGUGAGGUGCUCGUGCUUUUGUUCAUUGGCAGGACCACUGUUUCUUUCGUUUUUGUUUCUUAUAACCACAUCAGUGAAAUCCUCUUCAAUCUUAGCCUCCUUUGUUGCCAGCAACGUAGCCACGAUAUCCUGGCCGGUGAUGCUACCUGAAGAUCAUGCAAAAAAUUGUCAUGUUAGGGCAUUGUCGGCAUGGGAACACCGGACCAGUGUGUGUGACGACAGCGUCUGGCAGGUUUUGACCACAACCCACUUUACAGGUGGACAGGUAGGUCAACCACAUGACUGGGUGAUGUGGUGCACGAGUAGGCUAGGAGGAACAAGAAUAGGAAGGACUGUAGUUGAGAGAAGAUAAUGCCAUAUUGUCAUCUUGACUGAAGGUUGGGCACCUGACGAUGCUUGUCAAUCAGAACUCUGAAGGUAUAUUGUGUGAUGCUUGUCAACCAGAACUCUGUAGGUUUUAUGUCUUACACUUUUGACUUACAUACAUUACUGAAUUAAAGAGAUAGCAAUGUUCAGGAGAAGAUGCAGUGCUGCAAACAACUCAUCAUUCUCAUAGUAGCUAGCAAAUCAUUUUAUAUUAUAUGAGUUAUUCUACUCUUCAUCUGUAAUAUUACUAUUUUCGGAUAGUCGUAGUAUUUAUUUCUGUUCAGUUUUAAUAGAAUAUACUUUAGGUUUGCAUGGUGAGAUGUCUUCAACAAAGGAGAGAUGUACUGGUUGUA